CUCAACCUCAUGCUGUCCUCUAUUACUCACAGAGAGCAUCCAAAGGUGGUCUUCUCAUAGCUGAAGCUACCGGUGUCUCUGACACUGCUCAAGGGUAUCCAGACACACCAGGUAUAUGGACUAAAGAGCAUGUCGAGGCGUGGAAACCUAUUGUGGAUGCUGUUCAUGCCAAAGGUGCUACAUUCUUCUGUCAGAUUUGGCAUGUUGGAAGAGUUUCUAAUUCUAGUAUGUAUUUAAUUUUAUCUAAUGAGCAAUUAAUUGACAUAUUUUUCUAAUUUUUCAAGUAUUACUUUUAGGUGGGAAUGAAAUUUUUGUUAGAGAUGAUACUUAUUUUAUAGGUCAAAAUGCAUCUAAAGGUUCUUUUAAGUUUUUUCGUUUUUCCCAAAGUCGUCCUUUAAGUUUCAAAAGUCCCAAAGUGAUCCUUUAAGUUUCAAAAGUCUCAAAUAAGUUUUUUUAGUUUUUGAAUCGUUUCAAACAAGUCCUUUUAGAGGAUGAUGGUGAUGAUACAGAUGAUAGCAACAAAGAGCAUCCACCAUUUGCCAUGCUUAAAAAGAUGAGUAAUUUUAAGUGGGUGUUAGGAGCCAGAUUUGGUACCAAGGAUGAGUUCAAGGAAGCAAUUACCAACUAUGCUAUCUACAAUAGGACUUGUUUGAAACAAUUCAAAAACUAAAAGGACUUGUUUGAGACUUUUGAAACUUAAAUGACCACUUUGAGAAAAAUGAAAAACUUAGAGGACCUUUAAAUACAUUUGACCUAUUUUAUAUUCGCCGGUUUAAUUAAUUACAUGUAUUGUAUAUAUUUAUUAAACACAUUUAUAUACAUACACUCUCAAUAUUAUAUGCCUAUAUUACAUACAGUUUGUCAACCAAAUGGGCAAGCACCAAUAUCUUCAACAAACAAACUACUCACACCACAAAUUGGAGGUGAUGGUUUUCAAAUGCCACAAUUCACACAACCGAGGAGGCUAAGAACAGAAGAAAUUCCUAAUAUUGUCAAUGACUUUAGACUUGCUGCAAGAAAUGCUAUUGAAGCUGGUAAAUUCAUUUUUCUUAAAUUUCUCCAUAGUUCAAUUGAUUCAAUUUAAAAGUAUGAACAGAAAUAAUGACGUAAAUUAGAGAGAUAAAAAUUGUUACAAAGGUAUGACAUCUCUAACAUUUUUUCUACUUUGAAUUUUACUCUUUAGUUUAACUUACUAUAAUAGGAGGACAUUUUACAUACUUGUAUGGUGCAAAUUGUAGGUUUUGAUGGGGUUGAAAUCCAUGGAGCUCAUGGCUACCUAGUUGAACAAUUCAUGAAAGAUAAAGCAAACGACAGAACAGAUGAAUAUGGUGGAACCCUUGAAAAUCGUUGUAGAUUUGUUUUGGAAAUUGUUGAAGCUGUUGCAAAUGAGAUAGGUGCAGAAAGAGUUGGAAUAAAAUUAUCACCUUUUGAAAAAUUUGGAGAUUGUGGAGACUCAAAUCCCCAAGAAUUGGGACUUUAUAUGGUGAAUGCCCUCAAUAAAUAUGGUAUUCUUUAUUGUCAUAUGGUGGAACCAAGAAUGGAAAUUCUUGAUGAGAAAACUGAAUGUCAUUAUAGCUUGGUGUCAAUAAGAAAGGUUUUCAAUGGAACUUUUAUGGUUACUGGAGGCUAUGAAAGACAAGAUGGAAUCAAUGCUAUAGCUGAAAAUAGGGCAGAUCUUAUUGCUUAUGGUCGUUUGUUCAUAUCUAAUCCAGAUUUACCAAAGAGAUUUGCACUUAAUGCUCCUCUUAACAAGUAUAAUAGGGAGACAUUCUACACUUCUGAUCCAGUUAUAGGUUAUACUGACUACCCUUCUCUUGAAUAAUUAAACAUAUGAUGUAGCAUCCAAGGGUGCCUACAUUUUUUGCAAUAAUUGUGUCACUGAUAGUUUUAGGUCCCGUGAAGGGAACUUGUAAGAAAUAUAUAUAUAUAUAUAUACCAAAAUAUUUAGCCAUUGAAAUGAGAAUUUUGAUGCUCAUGUUUUUAUAUGUAUUCUUCUCAUACUUUUCUGCUGGGACAAUGCAAAGUCAAUGCUAUGUAGCUAAUAUUUUUUAAUCCCAUAUACGAGCUUUGUGCUAAUAAGAGAGUUAAAUUUAGUAUUGGAAACUUUUCCUUAGAUAUUGCAAUUGAGAAAAAGUCUAAUAUAGUCACGAUCCAAAUCAAAAAGAUUUAGACACAUUCACAUAAAAUAAAAAAUAAAAAAAUAAAUCAGUCAUAUCAAUUAAUUUUAUUUUUAUUUAAAUUUUUCUAUGUCUUGUGAGUGUGCCCAAAUCAUUUUGAUUUAGGGUUGUGCCCAUCUUAGACUUUCUCUGCAAUUGAAUGUUUGAAUUAGUGGUGAAACAUCGGAAUCAUGGUAAAUCCUUGUUAUUUUAGUAAAAAAUAUAUAUACACUAAAUUUGUAAGUUGUAACCGCCACCGUACGUACUAACAUUUUCCAACUAAUCAUAAGCAUCAUUUUAGUACCCAAUACUAUUUUUUCACUAUCUUUUAAAAAGAAGUUUAGAAAAGAAAGUGCGAAAUGUUUUUUAAUGGUAAAUGUUAGCGAUUAAUUUGUAAAUUAAUAUUUCUUCAUUCGUUUAAAUUUGAAUUCAAGACUUUCAACUAUUUAUCUCUUAGUUCAAACCAGUUGAGUUACCUAACUCUCUAUAUAACUUAAAUGUGUAAUUGAUAUUCAUUGCCCCACGUUUAGUGAGACAUUUGCAUGUCUAGCUUUAACAAAUCACAGUGAAAUGAGUUUUGAGACACAAGAAUCAUGGUUUAGAAGUGGAACCGAACAUGCCAUAAAUCAAUAACAUAAACUAAAAGGGAAAAGAAUGAAUCCCAGUCAACCUGAAAAAAAAUUGUUUUAGUACAUUGGGGAUACAAAUCUUUCCAAAUAUGAAUGGAAGAGAUCAAACCUAAACGGGUUAUUAGAGAGGUAUAUAUAGAAAUAUAAUUUUUUAUUUUUUUUAAGACUCACCGGUAGGUUGCCAUUUGUAAAUCUAAGCCGUUGAAUUUUAAACUAUUAAAUUAAUAGUAAAUGAGCAAAUUGAAUCACUUUUUUUUUUUGAGAAAAACUGAAUCACUUGUACACUCUAAAUUAUAAAAGCCACCCUAUAUAUAACUUAUUAAAACAAAAUAAAAAGGCUGGUACAUUUGUCAAGAAAGAAGAGUGGUAAAUAUAUACAAUAUUUUUAAUGGAGAGGUAAAUAAGAAAGAGUAUGUUAACUUAUGUUCUAAGACACAUGUUAAAAUAUUUAAGUUACAUAAAAAUUAAAAAUAUAUAAAAAACAAUUUUUGAACUUUAUUAAAAAGGAUGCCAUACAAUAUUAGCAAGUAUUUUUAGAGCAUUGUUUAAGUCUUUAAAAGUAGUAACUUUUAGGUUUAAUUGCACUUUUGGACCCCUAUCUUUUCAAAAGUUGCGGUUAUGGACCUCUAACUAAUUUAAAUACAAAACAGCCCCCUAUGUUUUGAUUCUUUGGCAGUUUUGGACCCCCAGUCCAUUGUUGACUCGGUCAACGCUGACGUGGCACCCUAAGUGAGGUGUCACGUGUCAAUUUUUUUUUUUUUUGUCUUGGGGGUCCAAAACUGCUAAAGAAUCAAAACAUAGGAGACUGUUUUGUAUUUAAAUUAGUUAGGGGUCUAUAACCGCAACUUUUAGAAAGAUAGGGGUCCAAAAGUGCAAUUAAGCCUAACUUUUACAUAGAAAAUUGUGUAACUAUGACUUUCAUAUGGUUUGACUUGUAUUUUUAAGGCAAAAUUUCCAUUUAUGUGUGUGACUUGUACUCCUUCCGUUUCCCAAUAUUUGUCGUUUUUGGAGAAUAAAUUUGCUUCACUUUACUUGUCUGUCUCUCUCAAGUUUCAAUGCAACAUUAAAUAUUGGUUUGUUAAUAAUAUUUUGGGUUAAAUAUGUUUUUGGUCCUUAUAAAUAUGUCAACUUUUUGUUUUAGUCCCUCUAAAAUUUUCCUUCAACUUUUAGUCCCUAUAAAGUUUUCAAUCUUCACUUUUGGUCCAUCUUUUAAAGUAAACUCAUAUGUAGAAUUCAUAUUAUUUAAUAAAAUUUUCCAGAAAAAUUCAAAAUAUUAUAAGAAUCACUCCAAAAAAAAUUCAGAAUUUUUUAACAAAACAUGAAUUUAAUAUGAAUUUUUAUAUUGUUUAUGGUUAAAAAUUCAUAUUUAAUUUGUGUUUUGUUAAAAAAAAACUAAUUUUUUUUAGGAAUUAUUUUUAGAAUAUUUGACACAUUUCUGCACAAUUUCAUUAAAAAAUACAAAAAUUAAAUUAUAAAUAGGGACCAAAAGUAGUGAUUGAAAAUUUUAUAGGGACUAAAAGUUGAAGGAAAAUUUUAGAGGGACUAAAACGAAAAGUUGACAUUUAUAGGAACCAAAAACAUAUUUAACCCUAAUAUUUUUACCUAUUUAUUGUAGAGAGAAAUAAUAUAAUGAAAUAAUAAAUGAUCAAUAGUAUUAUAGAAAAACACAAAGAAUUUCAUUAAAAAUAACAAAAUUUAUUCAAUUUCUUAGUAUGUGUAAUUUUCUCAAAAGUGAUAAGUAUUGUGAAACAGAUUGAGUAUUUUCAAGGCAAAAUUUCUUUUUAUGAGUUUCUUAAACAAUGCUCUUAAGACACUUGUUAGCAAGAUACUCCCUCCGUUUCACAAUACUUGUCACUUUUGGAGAAUAAUUUUAUUUCAAUUACUAUCACUUUCAAGUUUCAAUGCAACAUUAAUUAUUAGUUUGUCAAUAAUACUCUUAUUUAUUUAUUGUAGAGAGAAAUAACAUGAUGAAAUAAUAAAAGAGAAUGUUAACAAGUGUCUUGAGGGAAUUGGUUAAGUAUCCAAAACAAAUAAGUUUUUAUGAAAAAAUUAUGUAAUCAUUAUUUGAUUAAAAGUAACAUAUUAUAUUUCCAUGACGAUAUUUCUAUUUAUAAAUAAUGCAUUUAUUUCCCUUAGUCAAUUUACAUAUAUGUCCUCAGCCUCGGUGGCUUGAAUUGAUUCGUACUGUAGCAUCCAAUUCCAUCCGGCACGCAUUAUUAAAAUAAUUGACUAAAGGAAAUGUCUCAGCAGUGGGUGCAAGUUGAUGGUGUACGCUUUAGUCUCUCUAGUGGCGGUGGGAUAAAUUCACAAGUUAUUCUUUUAAUCUUUAUGAUCACACGACUAAAUUGUCGACAGCGAUCUACAUUUUGUAAUAAUUAAAAAGAAAAUUGUCAAUCCUUCUAAUUUAACUAAGGGAAAUAAAUGUCUCUUAUCAAGAAAAGUGUUACCCUUCAAAUUAAAAAAAGUAUCUUUCAUGUGUGACUAGAAUUAUCACCGAUCCAUAAUAUUUUGUGUGGUGAUUUCAUUAGUCACCUACUUCUACGAUCAGCAACAAUGGAGUAGUAUUUUGUGAUCAAAAGUAGUCAAAUUGGACUGCGGUGAGGGACCAACUCCAAUGUCAGAGAGAACAUGCAACGCAAUCGCACACGUCACAAUCAACAAUUAUAAACACAAAAGCCGCCACCACUUUCCACUUAUAGUCACUAUAUAUAAAUUACUUACUUCAAUUUAAACUUCACAUUCCAUUCUGUAUCACUUUAAUCAAGUAAUCAAGUAAAAACUAAUAAUGGCUGGUAUUGUUGAAUCUGAUCCAAUUCCACUUCUCACUCCUUACAAAAUGGGAAAAUUCAAUCUAUCUCAUAGGUAUUUUAAUUAUCUUUUCAUUCAUUUAUUCCAUUGCAUUUCAAAGUGCAUCUCAAAUAUAUCAUAUCACUCACUAUGUGUUACUGUAAUUUACUCAUUUCAUUUCAGAGUUGUUUUGGCACCACUCACAAGAAACAGAUCCUAUGGCAAUGUUCCACAACCUCAUGCUAUCCUCUAUUACUCUCAGAGAGCAGCCGGUUCUAACGGAGGUCUUCUCAUAACCGAAGCUACCGGUAUAUCUGACACCGCUCAAGGGUAUCCAGACACGCCAGGUAUUUGGACUAAAGAGCACGUCGAGGCGUGGAAACCUAUUGUGGAUGCUGUCCAUGCCAAAGGUGCUACCUUCUUCUGUCAGAUUUGGCACGUUGGAAGAGUUUCUGAUACUGGUAUGUUUUAUUUCUUCAAAUUAUCCAAGUUUCUUUGCAUGAAGAUACAUGCCUGAAAUAAUUUUGAAAAGACAUAAAACAUAAAUGAGGGAUUUUUAUUGAUUUCAACUUCUUUGAUGUUGCUUGACCUGCAUCUAUCUGUUCUUUUCCCCAACUAUAGUUUU
rnacentral:lncRNA from 1 species